rnacentral:sRNA from 1 species
AGUGAACCUUGUUUGCAGUGGAAAUCCUUUUUUGAUUCGCCAAAAGGCGAAUCAAAAAAGAUUGUAACGAAAAGCCCCACCCUUG